rnacentral:rRNA from 1 species
GCGGACGCUGGCGGCAGGCCUAACACAUGCAAGUCGCACGAACCUUUCGGGGUUAGUGGCGGACGGGUGAGUAACACGUGGGAACGUGCCUUUAGGUUCGGAAUAACUCAGGGAAACUUGUGCUAAUACCGAAUGUGCCCUUCGGGGGAAAGAUUUAUCGCCUUUAGAGCGGCCCGCGUCUGAUUAGCUAGUUGGUUGAGGUAAUGGCUCACCAAGGCGACGAUCAGUAGCUGGUCUGAGAGGAUGAUCAGCCACAUUGGGACUGAGACACGGCCCAAACUCCUACGGGAGGCAGCAGUGGGGAAUCUUGCGCAAUGGGCGAAAGCCUGACGCAGCCAUGCCGCGUGAAUGAUGAAGGUCUUAGGAUUGUAAAAUUCUUUCACCGGGGACGAUAAUGACGGUACCCGGAGAAGAAGCCCCGGCUAACUUCGUG